UACGUAGGAAGCAAGCGUUGUUCGGAAUUAUUGGGCGUAAAGGGCAUGUAGGCGGUUUAAUAAGUGUGGAUUUAAAGACCGGAGCUUAACUCCGAGUAUGGUCUGCAAACUAUUAAACUAGAGUAUAGGAGGGGAGAGUGGAAUUCCGCGUGUAGGGGUGAAAUCUGUAGAUAUGCGGAAGAAUACCGGUGGCGAAGGCGACUCUCUGGCCUAUAACUGACGCUAAAAUGCGAAAGUGUGGGGAUCAAACAGGAUUAGAUACCCCCGUAGU
rnacentral:rRNA from 1 species